rnacentral:snoRNA from 1 species
UUAACUUGGAUGUUGAUCAGUGCGGAAACGUAUUGAUCCAUCUGGGUUGCAGUGCAAGAGCUGCUUUCAAUGCAGUAAGUUCUCAAGACUGCCAUGUCGAAAAAAAACUGUGCUCUGUUUAUGCAGAAUGCAUGGAAACAAGGUAUAUUCCAUAGACUUUUUGGAGCCUAUUAGGCAGUGACCAUUGAGACAAACCAUACCUAGUACAGUU